rnacentral:rRNA from 1 species
AAUAUUGGACAAUGGGUGCAACCCUGAUCCAGCCAUGCAUCGUGUGUGAAGAAUGUCUUCGGUUUGUAAAUCACUUUAUGUUGGGAGGAAGGGCUUUAAGUUACUACCCUGAAGUUUUGACGUUACCAACAGAAUAAGCACCGGCUAACUCUGUGCCAGCAGCCGCGGUAAUACAGAGGGUGCAAGCGUUAAUCGGAAUUACUGGGCGUAAAGCGCGUGUAGGUGGUUCAGUAAGAUGGGUGUGAAAUCCCCGGGCUUAACCUGGGAACUGCUUUCAUAAGUGAUGAGCUAGAGUACGGUAGAGGGUAGUGGAAUUUCAUGUGUAGCGGUGAAAUGCGUAGAUAUAGGAAGGAACACCAGUGGCGAAGGCGACUACCUGGACUGAUACUGACACUGAGGUGCGAAAGCGUGGGGAGCAAAC